rnacentral:tRNA from 1 species
GCCGAUGUGGCUCAAUUGGCAGAGCAGCUGAUUUGUAAUCAGCAGGUUAUCGGUUCGAGU